rnacentral:rRNA from 1 species
GGUUAAGCGACUAAGCGUACACGGUGGAUGCCCUGGCAGUCAGAGGCGAUGAAGGACGUGCUAAUCUGCGAUAAGCGUCGGUAAGGUGAUAUGAACCGUUAUAACCGGCGAUUUCCGAAUGGGGAAACCCAGUGUGUUUCGACACACUAUCAUUAACUGAAUCCAUAGGUUAAUGAGGCGAACCGGGGGAACUGAAACAUCUAAGUACCCCGAGGAAAAGAAAUCAACCGAGAUUCCCCCAGUAGCGGCGAGCGAACGGGGAGGAGCCCAGAGCCUGAAUCAGUGUGUGUGUUAGUGGAAGCGUCUGGAAAGGCGCGCGAUACAGGGUGACAGCCCCGUACACAAAAAUGCACAUGCUGUGAGCUCGAUGAGUAGGGCGGGACACGUGGUAUCCUGUCUGAAUAUGGGGGGACCAUCCUCCAAGGCUAAAUACUCCUGACUGACCGAUAGUGAACCAGUACCGUGAGGGAAAGGCGAAAAGAACCCCGGCGAGGGGAGUGAAAAAGAACCUGAAACCGUGUACGUACAAGCAGUGGGAGCACGCUUAGGCGUGUGACUGCGUACCUUUUGUAUAAUGGGUCAGCGACUUAUAUUCUGUAGCAAGGUUAACCGAAUAGGGGAGCCGAAGGGAAACCGAGUCUUAACUGGGCGUUAAGUUGCAGGGUAUAGACCCGAAACCCGGUGAUCUAGCCAUGGGCAGGUUGAAGGUUGGGUAACACUAACUGGAGGACCGAACCGACUAAUGUUGAAAAAUUAGCGGAUGACUUGUGGCUGGGGGUGAAAGGCCAAUCAAACCGGGAGAUAGCUGGUUCUCCCCGAAAGCUAUUUAGGUAGCGCCUCGUGAAUUCAUCUCCGGGGGUAGAGCACUGUUUCGGCAAGGGGGUCAUCCCGACUUACCAACCCGAUGCAAACUGCGAAUACCGGAGAAUGUUAUCACGGGAGACACACGGCGGGUGCUAACGUCCGUCGUGAAGAGGGAAACAACCCAGACCGCCAGCUAAGGUCCCAAAGUCAUGGUUAAGUGGGAAACGAUGUGGGAAGGCCCAGACAGCCAGGAUGUUGGCUUAGAAGCAGCCAUCAUUUAAAGAAAGCGUAAUAGCUCACUGGUCGAGUCGGCCUGCGCGGAAGAUGUAACGGGGCUAAACCAUGCACCGAAGCUGCGGCAGCGACGCUGAUGCGUUGUUGGGUAGGGGAGCGUUCUGUAAGCCUGUGAAGGUGUGCUGUGAGGUAUGCUGGAGGUAUCAGAAGUGCGAAUGCUGACAUAAGUAACGAUAAAGCGGGUGAAAAGCCCGCUCGCCGGAAGACCAAGGGUUCCUGUCCAACGUUAAUCGGGGCAGGGUGAGUCGACCCCUAAGGCGAGGCCGAAAGGCGUAGUCGAUGGGAAACAGGUUAAUAUUCCUGUACUUGGUGUUACUGCGAAGGGGGGACGGAGAAGGCUAUGUUGGCCGGGCGACGGUUGUCCCGGUUUAAGCGUGUAGGCUGGUUUUCCAGGCAAAUCCGGAAAAUCAAGGCUGAGGCGUGAUGACGAGGCACUACGGUGCUGAAGCAACAAAUGCCCUGCUUCCAGGAAAAGCCUCUAAGCAUCAGGUAACAUCAAAUCGUACCCCAAACCGACACAGGUGGUCAGGUAGAGAAUACCAAGGCGCUUGAGAGAACUCGGGUGAAGGAACUAGGCAAAAUGGUGCCGUAACUUCGGGAGAAGGCACGCUGAUAUGUAGGUGAAGUCCCUCGCGGAUGGAGCUGAAAUCAGUCGAAGAUACCAGCUGGCUGCAACUGUUUAUUAAAAACACAGCACUGUGCAAACACGAAAGUGGACGUAUACGGUGUGACGCCUGCCCGGUGCCGGAAGGUUAAUUGAUGGGGUCAGCGCAAGCGAAGCUCUUGAUCGAAGCCCCGGUAAACGGCGGCCGUAACUAUAACGGUCCUAAGGUAGCGAAAUUCCUUGUCGGGUAAGUUCCGACCUGCACGAAUGGCGUAAUGAUGGCCAGGCUGUCUCCACCCGAGACUCAGUGAAAUUGAACUCGCUGUGAAGAUGCAGUGUACCCGCGGCAAGACGGAAAGACCCCGUGAACCUUUACUAUAGCUUGACACUGAACAUUGAGCCUUGAUGUGUAGGAUAGGUGGGAGGCUUUGAAGUGUGGACGCCAGUCUGCAUGGAGCCGACCUUGAAAUACCACCCUUUAAUGUUUGAUGUUCUAACGUUGACCCGUGAUCCGGGUUGCGGACAGUGUCUGGUGGGUAGUUUGACUGGGGCGGUCUCCUCCUAAAGAGUAACGGAGGAGCACGAAGGUUGGCUAAUCCUGGUCGGACAUCAGGAGGUUAGUGCAAUGGCAUAAGCCAGCUUGACUGCGAGCGUGACGGCGCGAGCAGGUGCGAAAGCAGGUCAUAGUGAUCCGGUGGUUCUGAAUGGAAGGGCCAUCGCUCAACGGAUAAAAGGUACUCCGGGGAUAACAGGCUGAUACCGCCCAAGAGUUCAUAUCGACGGCGGUGUUUGGCACCUCGAUGUCGGCUCAUCACAUCCUGGGGCUGAAGUAGGUCCCAAGGGUAUGGCUGUUCGCCAUUUAAAGUGGUACGCGAGCUGGGUUUAGAACGUCGUGAGACAGUUCGGUCCCUAUCUGCCGUGGGCGCUGGAGAACUGAGGGGGGCUGCUCCUAGUACGAGAGGACCGGAGUGGACGCAUCACUGGUGUUCGGGUUGUCAUGCCAAUGGCACUGCCCGGUAGCUAAAUGCGGAAGAGAUAAGUGCUGAAAGCAUCUAAGCACGAAACUUGCCCCGAGAUGAGUUCUCCCUGACUCCUUGAGAGUCCUGAAGGAACGUUGAAGACGACGACGUUGAUAGGCCGGGUGUGUAAGCGCAGCGAUGCGUUGAGCUAACCGGUACUAAUGAACCGUGAGGCUUAACCUU